AGUUCCGCUCUUAGCGUCCACUGUGAAGAAGAGAGGCCACCCUCCCAGAUGCUGUGAGCUUGCAGCUCAUGUUUUCCUGGACGGCCUUGUUCUACACUUUCAAAGAAUGGCAACAGCAUGCUCUCCUCUCGUGAACUUGCGGGGGGCAGAGGGGAGGUGGGGGAACUACACCUGGUAAGCCGAAUGCUUGCUUCAUUUUGAAUGCUUGCUUCAUUUUCGUUUGUCUGAAACGUGACCCAAACCCCUGAGGCCAGCUGUUGCUCAGUGUGGCAGUCUGAGAUCAGUGAGUUCUUGUGACACUUAAUAACUCCCAAGAAGCACAGCUGGGAGAGCCAGAAGGCACAGUGAAGACACCGAUUCUUUGGCUGGACUAUGUGAACUGAGAGAAGCCCACGCAGUUCAUCUAAACCUACACCAUAGCUUCUGAAGACGCUGUUCACCAGCCCAGACACAAGUGUCAUCCCGUAUUCAUCUUUGUGUGCUGGAGGAAACAGAGAGAGCGGGAGGGCGGAGAGAACACAGAGCUCUCUGUUGCGCCCCACACUGUGCCAUGGGGACUUCUUUCUUGUCUGGGUGAGUCAGAGAACUGACUAUGGUCUAGAUAAAUAAAUAAAUAAAUAAAUAAAUAAAUAGACAGACAGACAAAUAAAUAAACCUCUGUAAAUGGGAAAACGCUUAUGGGUGGAUGCAGAGCUAUUCGCCAAGCUGGAAAUGUGAAAAAACAUCCUGUUUUCCCCUCUGCAAAAGCUGACACGAUGCCCAAUUCUUGCCAUGCAGGUGGCUUCGUGCUUGGCAGCUGUCCUUUUAUAACCACUAGUGGGAGGAG
rnacentral:lncRNA from 1 species